rnacentral:rRNA from 1 species
GAGUUUGAUCCUGGCUCAGGACGAAAGUGGACGCCUUGCUUAACACAUGCAAGUCGAACGAAGAGAGAUGGAAGUGGCUUCUAUGGAUCUUAGUGGCGAACGGGUGAGUAACGCGUAAUCAACCUGCCCUUCAGAGGGGGACAACAGUUGGAAACGACUGCUAAUACCGCAUACGAUUUAACUUCGGCAUCGAGGUUAGAUGAAAGGUGGCCUCUAUUUAUAAGCUAUCGCUGAAGGAGGGGAUUGCGUCUGAUUAGCUAGUUGGAGGGGUAACGGCCCACCAAGGCGAUGAUCAGUAGCCGGUCUGAGAGGAUGAACGGCCACAUUGGGACUGAGACACGGCCCAGACUCCUACGGGAGGCAGCAGUGGGGAAUCUUCCGCAAUGGACGAAAGUCUGACGGAGCAACGCCGCGUGAGUGAUGACGGCCUUCGGGUUGUAAAGCUCUGUUAAUCGGGACGAAUGGUUCUUGUGCAAAUAGUGCGAGGAUUUGACGGUACCGGAAUAGAAAGCCACGGCUAACUACGUGCCAGCAGCCGCGGUAAUACGUAGGUGGCAAGCGUUGUCCGGAAUUAUUGGGCGUAAAGCGCGCGCAGGCGGAUUGGUCAGUCUGUCUUAAAAGUUCGGGGCUUAACCCCGUGAUGGGAUGGAAACUGCCAAUCUAGAGUAUCGGAGAGGAAAGUGGAAUUCCUAGUGUAGCGGUGAAAUGCGUAGAUAUUAGGAAG